UACAUGUAUAGAUUAACACAGAACUUGUUUCAAUGUUUAACUGUAGUUUUAUAAAUAAUUGCUAUCAUUUUUUCCAGCAUGUUGUACUUUGUUUCUGAAGAAAAUAAGAAUAGUUGUCAGUGAUGCAGUACUUGAAGGUGAAAUGAGGUUAAAUAAACAAGUAGAAAAGGGGAUUUGCCAACAUAUCCAGAAAAGAUGGAAACAACAGAAGAUAGUGAUGUAACACAGGCAGGAAUGAAAGCGAAUGAAACAGCAUCACUUCUAAAAGUAGCAUGGAAUUUUUAUCACAGAAAUAAUCCAGCAGUUUCCAGAUUGUGAAUUUCACCAUGUUAAUGAGUUUUACAAGCAGUUAGGAUGAGGUGUUUUUCAGAAGAAGAAAUGAGUUCCAAGAAUAUGUAUUCUAAAAGUUCCAAAUCUGUUUAUUGUAAUAGACUACUUGAAAUAAUGAAGAAAAUUAUUACAACUGUUUUUCCACAAAAUAUAGAAGAUGUCCAUCAUUCACUGACAAUGUAAUUGAGUUCUAAUAACCAGGAACAUAAACCGCAAGUAUUACCAAAAGGUUCAUUUGGUUCUUUUGUUGAUUCAUUGGAAAAGGCUGAAUCUUAGCGCCACAAAAAAAAAAUACUGUCAUUCUAGACACAGACCAUGUUGUAUAAUCAAGUUUAUCAGAUGCUUCCAGACAUAUCUGAGAAUAAAUGUUAUGUGACAUCUAGCUGCAAAAUAAAACUGAUUUCAAGUUU